UACGUAGGGGGCAAGCGUUGUCCGGAAUUAUUGGGCGUAAAGGGCUCGUAGGCGGCCAACUAAGUCGGACGUGAAAUCCCUCGGCUUAACCGGGGAACUGCGUCCGAUACUGGAUGGCUUGAGUUUGGGAGAGGGAUGCGGAAUUCCAGGUGUAGCGGUGAAAUGCGUAGAUAUCUGGAGGAACACCGGUGGCGAAGGCGGCAUCCUGGACCAACACUGACGCUGAGGAGCGAAAGCCAGGGGAGCAAACGGG
rnacentral:rRNA from 1 species